CGGCAAAAGUUUUUGAAAACCGCGAAGCUGGGAAAUUGGUAACUAAUACGUCAUAGUAGGAAGACAUUGCCUACUCGCCCAUAAAUACUAAGUGAGAAUCACAAUCAAGCUGGUCAAAAUUCGUCGAGUUCAGAUACGGAAAAUAACAGUUACCAAAGCGAUGACUGACUGAAAUUAUAUUCCUGAGCCGUAUGAAAUUGAGUGAAAUUGAUGAAAACACCAGUGAAGCGUAGUCAAGCAGCGCCGAUCA